rnacentral:rRNA from 1 species
GAUGAACGCUGGCGGCGUGCCUAAUACAUGCAAGUCGAGCGAACAGACGAGGAGCUUGCUCCUCUGUCGUUAGCGGAGGACGGGAGUGUAACACGUGGAUAACCUACCUAUAAGACUGGGAUCACUUCGGGAAACCGGAGCUAAUACCGGAUAAUAUAUUGAUCCGCAUGGUUCAAUAGUGAAAGACGGCUUUGCUGUCACUUAUCGCUGGAUCCGCGCCGCAUUAGCUAGUUGGUAAGGUAACGGCUUACCAAGGCAACGAUGCGUAGCCGACCUGAGGGGGUGAUCGGCCGCACUGGAGCGGGGACGCGGUCCAGGCUACUACGGGAGGCACCAGUAGGGAACCGGCCGCAAUGGUCGGAAGUUUGGCGGAACAGGGGGACGCCAGUGAUGGAAGUCUUGGGUGCGGAAAGCCCGGUUAUUAGGGAAAAACAGAUUUGUAAGGAACUAUGCACGGCGUGACGGUACCGGGUCAGAAAGCCACGGCUAACUACGUG